rnacentral:tRNA from 1 species
AUAAAGGUGGUUCAGUGGUAGAAUGCUCGCCUGCUACGCGGGUGGGCGACCCGGGUACGACUCCCGGCCGGUGCA